rnacentral:rRNA from 1 species
UACGUAGGGGGCAAGCGUUGUCCGGAAUCAUUGGGCGUAAAGAGCGUGUAGGCGGCCAGACAGGUCCGUUGUGAAAACUCGAGGCUCAACCUCGAGACGCCGAUGGAAACCGUCUGGCUAGAGUCCGGAAGAGGAGAGUGGAAUUCCUGGUGUAGCGGUGAAAUGCGCAGAUAUCAGGAGGAACACCGGUGGCGAAGGCGGGUCUCUGGGCCGAUACUGACGCUGAGGAGCGAAAGCGUGGGGAGCGAACAGG